ensembl:snRNA U6 U6 spliceosomal RNA
GUAGCCGACUGGCUCAAGCAACACAUGUACUGAAAUUGGAAUGAUAUAGAGAGGAUUCGCAGGGCCCCUGCUUAAGGAUGGUAACACAAAUUGAUGAAGCCUUCCAUAUUUUU